rnacentral:rRNA from 1 species
GGAAUAUUGGACAAUGGGCGCAAGCCUGAUCCAGCCAUGCCGCGUGCAGGAUGACGGUCCUAUGGAUUGUAAACUGCUUUUAUACGAGAAGAAACACUGCUACGUGUAGCAGCUUGACGGUAUCGUAAGAAUAAGGAUCGGCUAACUCCGUGCCAGCAGCCGCGGUAAUACGGAGGAUCCAAGCGUUAUCCGGAAUCAUUGGGUUUAAAGGGUCCGUAGGCGGUUUAAUAAGUCAGUGGUGAAAGCCCAUCGCUCAACGAUGGAACGGCCAUUGAUACUGUUAGACUUGAAUUAUUAGGAAGUAACUAGAAUAUGUAGUGUAGCGGUGAAAUGCUUAGAGAUUACAUGGAAUACCAAUUGCGAAGGCAGGUUACUACUAAUUGAUUGACGCUGAUGGACGAAAGCGUGGGUAGCGAACAGGAUUAGAUACCCCGG